UCGCACCUACCGAUUGAAUGGUCCGGUGAAGCCUCGGGAUUGUGGUUGGGUUCCUUUAUUGGAGCCUAACCGUAAGAACUUGUCUAAACCUUAUCAUUUAGAGGAAGGUG
rnacentral:rRNA from 1 species